AGUGAACGCUGGCGGUAGGCCUAACACAUGCAAGUCGAACGGCAGCACAGGAGAGCUUGCUCUCUGGGUGGCGAGUGGCGGACGGGUGAGGAAUACAUCGGAAUCUACUCUGUCGUGGGGGAUAACGUAGGGAAACUUACGCUAAUACCGCAUACGACCUACGGGUGAAAGCAGGGGAUCUUCGGACCUUGCUCGAUUGAAUGAGCCGAUGUCGGAUUAGCUAGUUGGCGGGGUAAAGGCACACCAAGGCGACGAUCCGUAGCUGGUCUGAGAGGAUGAUCAGCCACACUGGAACUGGGACACGGUCCAGACGCCUACGUGAGGCAGCAGUGGGGAAUAUUGGACAAUGGGCGCAAGCCUGAUCCAGCCAUACCGCGUGGGUGAAGAAGGCCUUCGGGUUGUAAAGCCCUUUUGUUGGGAAAGAAAUCCAGCUGGCUAAUACCCGGUUGGGAUGACGGUACCCAAAGAAUAAGCACCGGCUAACUUCGUGCCAGCCGCCGCCGUAA
rnacentral:rRNA from 1 species